UACAGAGGUCUCGAGCGUUAGGCGGAAUCACUGGGCUUGAAGCGUGUGUAGGUGGAUGCCUAAGUACCUUGUGAAAUCCCACAGCUUAACUGUGGAACUGCUUGGUAUACUGGGUGUCUUGAGUCACUCAGGGGCGAGCGGAACAAAUGGUGGAGCGGUGAAAUGCGUAGAUAUCAUUUGGAACGCCAAUGGUGAAAACAGCUCGCUGGGGGUGCACUGACACUGAGACACGAAAGCCAGGGGAGCGAACGGG
rnacentral:rRNA from 1 species